UAGACACCAAGGCAGACCAUGUUAAUUACCCCUAAACAAAGGACUAAACAAUAUUGAACCCUGCCCUAAUGUCUUCGGUUGGGGCGACCACGGAGAAAUAAAAAACCCCCGCGUGGAAUAGGGAUACUAUCCCCAAAGCUACGAGCCUCCGCUCUAUCAAACAGAACCUCUGACCAAUCAGAUCCGGCAAUGCCGACCAACGGACCAAGUUACCCUAGGGAUAACAGCGCAAUCCCCUUCUAGAGCCCAUAUCGACAAGGGGGUUUACGACCUCGAUGUUGGAUCAGGACAUCCUAAUGGUGCAGCCGCUAUUAAG
rnacentral:rRNA from 1 species